GGGGGCCCGCAAGCGGUGGAGCAUGUGGUUCAAUUCGACGCAACGCGAAGAACCUUACCUGGGCUCGAAAUGUAGUGGAAUGGGGUGGAAACAUCCCCGUCUCGCAAGAGACUGCUAUAUAGGUGCUGCAUGGCUGUCGUCAGCUCGUGUCGUGAGAUGUUGGGUUAAGUCCCGCAACGAGCGCAACCCUUAUCCCUAGUUGCCAUCGGGUCAAGCCGGGCACUCUAGUGAAACCGCCCAGGAUAACUGGGAGGAAGGUGGGGAUGACGUCAAGUCCUCAUGGCCUUUAUGUCCAGGGCUACACACGUGCUACAAUGGUCGGUACAAACCGUCGCAAACCCGCGAGGGGGAGCUAAUCGGAAAAAGCCGGCCUCAGUUCGGAUUGGAGUCUGCAACCCGACUCCAUGAAGCUGGAAUCGCUAGUAAUCGCGGAUCAGAACGCCGCGGUGAAUACGUUCCCGGGCCUUGUACACACC
rnacentral:rRNA from 1 species